GAUGAACGCUGGCGGCGUGCUUAACACAUGCAAGUCGAACGGUGAAGCAGGAGCUUGCUCUUGUGGAUCAGUGGCGAACGGGUGAGUAACACGUGAGCAACCUGCCCCUGACUCUGGGAUAAGCGCUGGAAACGGCGUCUAAUACUGGAUAUGUGAUGUGACCGCAUGGUCUGCAUCUGGAAAGAAUUUCGGUUGGGGAUGGGCUCGCGGCCUAUCAGCUUGUUGGUGAGGUAAUGGCUCACCAAGGCGUCGACGGGUAGCCGGCCUGGGAGGGGAACCGGCCGCACUGGGACUGAGACACGGCCCAGAGUCCUACGGGGGGCAGCAGUGGGGAAUAGUGCACAAUGCGCGGAAGCCUGAUACAGCAACGCCGAGUGAGGGAUGACGGCCUUCGGGUUGUAAACCUCUUUUAGCAGGGAAGAAGCGAAAGUGACGGUACCUGCAGAAAAAGCACCGGCUAACUACGUGCCAGCCGCCGCGGUAA
rnacentral:rRNA from 1 species